CGACCGUUACUUAUAACUUUCCAUUUUGAACUAUCAGGUGCAUGUAUAAUAUACAUUUUUGUCUUGCGUGUCCGAAAGUGAUAUAAUAUACUAGUCAUUACUGAACUCAUACGCUUGUUUAUAAAUAACAUUUCUGGUGUAAAGAAUAUUAUUUAUAAAAAAAAAAUAAUACAAAAAAAAAUAAUUGAAGAAAUACAAAUCUAUUUACAUAUUUUUCCAAGGGUUAAUUUGGGAAAAUGUAAUAUAUACUCGUUGUCAAUAGUUUAGGACAGAUUGGAACAUACCAGAAUUAUUGAUCUAAAAAAAUGUGCGCACUUGUCGACGAUUCGUGUAUACAUACGCCUGGUAGAAAGUUACGGAACUAUAGUCAGUAGCGCAAUUUAAAAUAUGUAUACAUGUAUACAUUGAACAUAAGAAAGAAACAUACAUUUUGUGUAAAUUGUGGUAAAAGUUUUGUAAAUAGACUAGUCCACGUAUGCCAACAGUAUGUAAUCAACGAAUUCGAUAGACUAUUGUAUAUACCAAAAGAAGAAGAAGAAAAAAAAGAAACAAUUUGAUUUAAAUACAGGUCAAUUUAUAACUUGCUUUGGUUCAUCGAAGUUAAGAACAUAGUAAACUCACAGA
rnacentral:lncRNA from 1 species